CUGAAAGUAUCAGCCCCUUGAGCAUAUUUUAAGCGAACCACGCUGAUGCAAUCCAAGAUCAUUAAUCAAAAAUAUAUGUAAAGCGUAUAUUUAAAAAUAGGUGGCUAAUAUUGCUUUGUCUUCCAGAGUCCUGCAGUUUCUCACUUCCCUGCUUUGUGGGUCAGAUGCUUUGCAGCCAAUUUACAUCAAUUCCUGGCACUGUUUUUAAAGGAAGCAAGGGGGAACAGUGAGAAGUCUCACUUUCUGCCAACAACAGGAAGUGCAUGCUCUUUGAGUCAGACAGCUUGUUUCAGCGAUGCCUUUUGUUGAACCAACAAGUUACUGGAUGGCGCAUUCAAUCUGAGGUGUAGUGCUGCUUGACAAAUCCCUGGAAAGGCAACAUCAGAGGCGUGGGGGGUCAGGCGGAAGGCAGCACGCCAUUGCAAUGCUCCUUUUUUGAAGGCAGCAUUCACUUUAAAGACCAGUCAUCCGAGGGAAGAGAGAGGAAAUGGUAACAACACCUCUCUCGUGAUCUGUCCUGUGGGUCUGAAUGUGCAGUGACUGAACUCUUGCUAGGGGUGACCACUGGAGGUUAGCACCUGGAGGUAUAUGCUUUGUAGCCACAUGCUAGCGAACUUGCCAAGGAGUGCUGUGGAAGCACGUGCCCCGUACGUGAGGAAAUGGUGUGUCCUGAGGCACACGGUUGAGACUGGCAGCAGAUGGAUGGUGUGGUACCGAACAGCAGAGACUUGGCCCUCCAUUCCUGUGUGCCUUUUGGAGAGGCUCUUCUCAGAGCUGCUAAAUGACAUGAUCCUGCCAGCAGCUUUAGCUUUCUAAAGAUCAGUACAACCUACAUAUUGACUUCAGAGAAAAUGUAGGUUAAGGAUAUAAUGUUCCAAAUUGCCUAAGUGGCCAGAGGCUUAGUAGCAAAUAUGUAUGGCCAGUAGCAUAUAGAAAGGAUGGCUUUUUGACUCAAAUAUUUCUCUAAUUACAAAGGAAAUUAGGCAAGCAGUUUAUUUAGGAGAAGCAGAACCAAAAGGAAAGCUCUCAGCUUUCCCCAUGUGUAGUACUGUUUCUCCAGAGAAGCUGUGGUGAUCCUGCAAAAUUUGACAAGGAGGGUGUAACAAGUCCUUCCCUAUUUUCUGGAAAUCCCACCCUCUUUCCACAUCUUAUCUGAAGUUUCUAUUUUGCACGUUGGUAUUUGUGCAAAGUUUCCAGCAAGACUUCUGUUUUCUGCUGUAAAACUAGCCUGCUAAACUAAAUCCAUCCUUUGCUUCCUUUUGUUUGGAGCAUGAUAUUUUUCUUCACUUGGCUAUUCCCCUGUUGGCUGUUUGUUGCUUCAUUUGGCCUGAGAUCAUUGGGAGGCUAAAUAGAGUGGUUUGGCUUUGUUUUCCCCCUUAUUUAUUUAUUUAUUUAUUAUUUAUAUAAUAUAUAUAUAUAUAUAAUAUUUAUUUAUUUAUUUAUUUAUUUAUUUAUUUAUUUAUUUAUUUAUUUAUUCCUUAGCUUAGAAAAGCAUCCCAACUGUUAAACUGGUUAAUUGCUACAGACCUCUUUUUUUGAGCAGCUCAUUAUAACUCUUUAGUAAAGUUCAUUACGUGUCUAUAGGAAUGCUGAGAAGAGGUCUGAAGUUCCGUAUGUCAGGCAGAGAACCUCUUUUCCACUGUUGUUUUCCUCUUCAUCUAUGCAUCAUUUAAAGACAUUUGCAAAGCUGAUGUUGUCUGACUUCAGCAGUUGAUCAUGGAAAGGAUUAUAUAUCUUUGUAUAUCUGGGCAAAAUAUUCUGUAAAUGUAGGUAGUGUAAGAACUGUCAGUAACAGAGAAGUGGAAAGAAAACUGACCACUGUUGGUUAAAAAUUAACUAUUUUGAAUUAGAUGCACAUACAGUACAGAUAUACACACACAUUUUGACAUAAUUAAUGCCUGAUUUGGAUUCUUAAAUUUAGGUCCUUUUUACAGCUCUUAAGAGUUUAGUGCAAGGGAUUGCAAAUACAGAUUCCUGAAUUUUCUACCCACGGAAAGGAAGCCUACUUUGUGGCUGGAGAAUAAGCAAGUGAUAGAAGAUCUGGCUGCCAAUCCUGAUUUUUGUCACUAACUCAUUGCAUGAUCUUGCAUAAGGAAUCUAGGCUUUCUUUGCCACAAUUUCCCUUUCAGAAAAGGGGGAAGGAUUUAAUAGUUUUAGAGUAAAGCUUCCUUUUACCAACUUUACGUAAAUUUUAUCUUGGAUUCUGGAAACUAGAGCAUAAGCUUAAAGAUAAUAGGAUGAAAUGGUAUUCCUUUUCGCUUCUGAGUCAUUAAAGAAAACUCCACUUAUUUUAAUUCCCCCUUCCAGUAAAUUGGGCUAAAUACCUCCUUUAUUUGAAGCAAAAAUUGAUAUUCUCUGCAACUGCGUCUCCAGAGACCAGGAUAUUAAGAAAUAUCAAUAUCAAAAUAUCAAAUAAGGUUAACGACAAACUGAAAAGGAUUGUUAAAAAGGAUUUACACUAUUUGACUCUCUGCUUUGUCAGGUAUUGCAGAAAAAAAGGAAGUAUGAAUGUAUUAUGAGAACACCUGCAUUGGCCGAGUGGAUUUUUUUUAUUUUUUUAUUUUAUUUUUACAAAGGGAGGUUGAGAAGUUGCUAAUAUCCAAACAAAAAGUAAUUUUACUUCACAAAUUGAUUUCACAUUUAAGAGUGAUGAAGGCAAGAGGCCAACUGUUCCAUAGUAUAAAAGACGUGCAAGUAUGACAUUAAGUAUGGUAGAAUUUCCCGAAAUGCACUGGUUUGGGCCUUUCUUAAUUCUCUGGUAAUAACCCUUAUGGUAGAGAGUAAUUUCUUUCUUCAUCACUGCUGAACUAGAUGUGUUAAUUUUUCCACCUGAUCUUCUACCACCCUUCAUUUCCCUUCUGGUCUUCCUAUCACUUCUGGUACAUUUGUCCCUAUCUUCAAUGACCAAAUUGUGAUUCAGCCAUCGAGAACUGUUAUACAAAACUCAAACAGAUGCCAACAGUCUCUUUUCUUCUGUCCUGGGCUUUGGGAUUUUGUUGAAAAUCCUCAAUUUUACAUUUCUCAGUCUAUUGAUAAGUGUAUUUCAUUGUCUUCCUAAAACCACAUUAGGCUUUUCUUGUCUGCUGAUCUGUACUCUAUGCUGAUCAGGAUCCAGUCUUUAUUUAAGGUCAAUGCAGCGUAGUUGUGGCUUAGGGAGAAGCAGAAAGCUGCAGAUGCAUGAACUGCAGGGUGUUUUAGUAGGGUGUACUCUGCAUCAGCUUGAUUAUUUUCCCUUAUUCAGGUUUACUACUCUGGCUACUUCAACAGAAUUCUCUGACAGGUACUAGCAUAAUAUUAGGCGGUUUGAAACUGUUUUGUAUCUCAGAGAGCUCACAAAAGGCAUGGUGAGACAGAUGUUUCCAAAGCAGAAGUAAUCAUUCUAAUUUGUACUAAUAUUUGAUGAGUCCAAAAAAAAACCCCCACAUACAUGUGGAAGCGUGUCAAGUGCUUUUGCUACAGACUAUGCAAAUAAAAUA